GCUUAGUGGUGGGGUGACUGCGUACCUUUUGUAUAAUGGGUCAGCGACUUAUAUUCUGUAGCAAGGUUAACCGAAUAGGGGAGCCGGAGGGAAACCGAGUCUUAACCGGGCGUUAAGUUGCAGGGUAUAGACCCGAAACCCGGUGAUCUAGCCAUGGGCAGGUUGAAGGUUGGGUAACACUAACUGGAGGACCGAACCGACUAAUGUUGAAAAAUUAGCGGAUGACCUGUGGCUGGGGGUGAAAGGCCAAUCAAACCGGGAGAUAGCUGGUUCUCCCCGAAAGCUAUUUAGGUAGCGCCUCGUGAACUCAUCUCCGGGGGUAGAGCACUGUUUCGGCUAGGGGGCCAUCCCGGCUUACCAACCCGAUGCAAACUGCGAAUACCGGAGAAUGUUAUCACGGGAGACACACGGCGGGUGCUAACGUCCGUCGUGAAGAGGGAAACAACCCAGACCGCCAGCUAAGGUCCCAAAGUCAUGGUUAAGUGGGAAACGAUGUGGGAAGGCCCAGACAGCCAGGAUGUUGGCUUAGAAGCAGCCAUCAUUUAAAGAAAGCGUAAUAGCUCACUGGUCGAGUCGGCCUGCGCGGAAGAUGUAACGGGGCUAAACCAUGCACCGAAGCUGCGGCAGCGACACUCAGGUGUUGUUGGGUAGGGGAGCGUUCUGUAAGCCUGCGAAGGUGGCCUGUGAGGGUUGCUGGAGGUAUCAGAAGUGCGAAUGCUGACAUAAGUAACGAUAAAGCGGGUGAAAAGCCCGCUCGCCGGAAGACCAAGGGUUCCUGUCCAACGUUAAUCGGGGCAGGGUGAGUCGACCCCUAAGGCGAGGCCGAAAGGCGUAGUCGAUGGGAAACGGGUUAAUAUUCCCGUACUUGGUGUUACUGCGAAGGGGGGACGGAGAAGGCUAUGUUGGCCGGGCGACGGUUGUCCCGGUUUAAGCGUGUAGGUGUGUGUUCCAGGUAAAUCCGGUUCACUUUAACACUGAGGCGUGAUGACGAGGCACUACGGUGCUGAAGCAACAAAUGCCCUGCUUCCAGGAAAAGCCUCUAAGCAUCAGGUAACAUCAAAUCGUACCCCAAACCGACACAGGUGGUCAGGUAGAGAAUACCAAGGCGCUUGAGAGAACUCGGGUGAAGGAACUAGGCAAAAUGGUGCCGUAACUUCGGGAGAAGGCACGCUGACACGUAGGUGAAGUGAUUUACUCAUGGAGCUGAAGUCAGUCGAAGAUACCAGCUGGCUGCAACUGUUUAUUAAAAACACAGCACUGUGCAAACACGAAAGUGGACGUAUACGGUGUGACGCCUGCCCGGUGCCGGAAGGUUAAUUGAUGGGGUCAGCGCAAGCGAAGCUCCUGAUCGAAGCCCCGGUAAACGGCGGCCGUAACUAUAACGGUCCUAAGGUAGCGAAAUUCCUUGUCGGGUAAGUUCCGACCUGCACGAAUGGCGUAAUGAUGGCCAGGCUGUCUCCACCCGAGACUCAGUGAAAUUGAACUCGCUGUGAAGAUGCAGUGUACCCGCGGCAAGACGGAAAGACCCCGUGAACCUUUACUAUAGCUUGACACUGAACAUUGAGCCUUGAUGUGUAGGAUAGGUGGGAGGCUUUGAAGUGUGGACGCCAGUCUGCAUGGAGCCGGCCUUGAAAUACCACCCUUUAAUGUUUGAUGUUCUAACGUGGACCCGUGAUCCGGGUUGCGGACAGUGUCUGGUGGGUAGUUUGACUGGGGCGGUCUCCUCCUAAAGAGUAACGGAGGAGCACGAAGGUUGGCUAAUCCUGGUCGGACAUCAGGAGGUUAGUGCAAUGGCAUAAGCCAGCUUGACUGCGAGCGUGACGGCGCGAGCAGGUGCGAAAGCAGGUCAUAGUGAUCCGGUGGUUCUGAAUGGAAGGGCCAUCGCUCAACGGAUAAAAGGUACUCCGGGGAUAACAGGCUGAUACCGCCCAAGAGUUCAUAUCGACGGCGGUGUUUGGCACCUCGAUGUCGGCUCAUCACAUCCUGGGGCUGAAGUAGGUCCCAAGGGUAUGGCUGUUCGCCAUUUAAAGUGGUACGCGAGCUGGGUUUAGAACGUCGUGAGACAGUUCGGUCCCUAUCUGCCGUGGGCGCUGGAGAACUGAGGGGGGCUGCUCCUAGUACGAGAGGACCGGAGUGGACGCAUCACUGGUGUUCGGGUUGUCAUGCCAAUGGCACUGCCCGGUAGCUAAAUGCGGAAGAGAUAAGUGCUGAAAGCAUCUAAGCACGAAACUUGCCCCGAGAUGAGUUCUCCCUGAGACUUUAGGUCUCCUGAAGGAACGUUGAAGACGACGACGUUGAUAGGCCGGGUGUGUAAGCGCAGCGAUGCGUUGAGCUAACCGGUACUAAUGAACCGUGAGGCUUAACCUUACA
rnacentral:rRNA from 1 species